AGAAAGACUUAAAACAGAAGCCAUAAAUCCAACCAAAACUCCCACCACCAGAUCUCCGCUUUGCUUUCCCAAUGCAUUCUUCUUCUCUCCAUUGUUAUCUCGAUUGUCUCUGUACGUGCUUUUCGAUUUUGGGCCACUUUGUGCAAAUUUUUGUCAAUUUAUUUGUAGAGUUUGUUAGCAAAGAGAAAGAUAGAAUCUAGGUCGUUGAAUUUGAUUGGUGGGGACAUUUGAAUUUUCUCCUGUACUGUAGAUGGUAUAUGGAUCGUUGGAGCUAUUUUUCUUAGGGGUUGGAUUCAUCAACGUUGUUGCCACAGUACCGCACCAUUCUUGUAAGAUUUAUUUCCGAUUUACUAUUCAAUAUUUAGAUUAUAUCUCUACAAUGGGAUUCCAAGUUUAUUCAUCACCUAAGAAAUAAAAGCUGUACAUUGAUUUUGUUUUAUAAGAAAAUAAUAUCAAUAUAUGAUGGUAACUAAGUUCUUUAUAUGUGAAAGUACAAAGUGCGUAAACUUGCCUUUAUGUUGGUUGCUCCAUCGAGAAACACUAAUAUGGGUUGCUCUGCUAAUGACUCUUGACACAUGAUUGCAUUACUAAUCUCCGCCAUCAUGAUUUGUGAUGUAUUAUGUUGAGCAAUAGAAAUAACUAGCAACUACUAAAAUAUUGAGGAUCACCUAGGAUGUGCAUGCCCGUGUUUUUAGUUCAAUUGUACUAUUUCUAGAUAGGGUUACUUCUAUCAAUUUUUCAUGUUGUGCUUCUUUAUUUUGAAUUUCAUUUGAGGUAAGAUUCAUUCAAUGAUCCGUUUGACGGUUUGUUAUUUCAUUUGUUCAACUGUUUGAGCCACUAAUGCUGGUGGAAGAAAUCCAAGUUAUCGAGUCCAUUGUGGUAUUUUUGAUGGCUUGAAAAAAACUAGAUUUAGCUCUGGUGCCAGUUCUUAGGAUGGCAACAAUGGCGGUGCUGAGAACAAGUCUUUCGGAGUUGUUUUUUUACAAGAGGAGACAAUGAUUGGUAAACUCGACUUGGAUGAAGAAAGACACUUCUGAUUAUGUUAAUCAACCUUUUUCUUUGUUAAGAUCAUCAUAAAUUUUAGUCUUAUGUUAUAUUAACAUAAAUCUGAGCAACCUUGCAAUCUAACAAUGGUAGGGAUUGACAAGUAUCUCUUGUAACACUAAGGACGCU
rnacentral:lncRNA from 1 species